UGGACAUUACCGCAGCAUGUGUUAAGACUCAUCACUAGUUAACACAGCCCCAAAGUUAGAAUGAUGGCUAAACCCUGCCCAUUUCUACAAUUUCUCUUUUUUAUAUUUAUUUUUUGGGGGGUUUUUUGUGGCUUUUUUUUUUACUUUGUGACUGUGGAAUCUGACUUAAUGGUUGUUAUCUAGUGGAAACCCUGUCCCAUAGAAGUUAGUCGAGGGGGAGGAGUUUCAGUACUUCCUCAGUUGUCGGAGUUAUGCUGCCCCUGACAUACACACAUUAUCUUCUCACAAACACACUCUCUUCUCACACACUGUCACACACUCUGUUCUCACACACUGUCAGAAACUCUCCCGGCUGCGUUCAUUACAGUCCGUUGCUCUUUCCAAACACAGGGACAGGAGCAGAAUGACUGGGCUUUAACCUGGUGGAGGGGAAAGUUUCCCUCACUGGGGGUAAACAGACUGAGGACACACUGGGACUACUAUACUGGACUACUGUACCAAUACCACCCUCAUGACGAAUGAAGUGACAGGAGAGAGCAGACAGCAGGACAGAGGUUGGUUCCACGUCACCUUGCCGUCAGUACCCACAGCCUGGAGCUGAGGCUAGUCGGUCACUAACAUGAGAAGACAGAGAGCAGUAACUGUCUCGUUCAGACAGACACUGCUGCUGUAGGUAUAUCUAUAUGAUAUGGGUAACAGGCUAUCCCAUGAAGACAUCUCCCCUGCUGAGCUGGAUGCACUAUGGAGAGAACCACCGUACACACUAGCGGGAACCAAUCAGCACUUCCCAGGGAAUGAUGUCAUGAAUCCAGGGGUGGAGUCUGGGAGCGGGGAGGUAGAGUCGGAUAGUUACUGGAAGAGGAAGGAGGCGUUCACCAGAGGAAGCACCGUGUCACUGGCCGUGGGAGAGAGGUUCUCCUCAGACGUGGUGCUGGUGUUCAGCGGUCGGCGGCGCUCAGGUGUAAUACCUGACUCUGAGCUACAGGAGGCGCUCCGUACCAGACUCAGGGUCGUCGAGAGCAACAGUCAGGACGUCAUCCAGCUCUUCAAGGACCUGUCUGCCCGUCUGCUGUCUGUCCACGCUGAGAAGGACAGCUUUGUCAUCACCUUCAAGACUGUAGAGGAGAUGUGGAAGUUCUCUACCUACCUGGCUCUAGGCUAUGUGGCGCGGUGCCUGGAGAAUUUCCUGUGUGACCAGUCGUUCUGGCUGGACACUGAGCUGCUGAGGGACCUGGAGAUUACUGUGACUGUAGAUGAGAAACACCUGGCCACACUCUACCUGGGACUGCUGCUGCAGGAGGGGUGA
rnacentral:lncRNA from 1 species